AAAUGAAUACAAAGAUUUCUGGAAAGAAAUUUCCAUGUUAUUAUAAUACUGCAAAUUCAUAAAAUAUAAAUCAUGUAGUAAUAAAAGAUUAUGUCAAGCUGCAUUAUUUCUUCCAAAUAAAUCAUAUGAAUAAACUUAUAGAAAUUACACACUCAUAAGAUAUUGAACUAUUCUAUUUGAGAUGCAAAGUGCAGUUGACUGUAUUGUGAUCGUGGGGUUAACACCAACAGCAGUAGGAAGAACACUUGCAUCACGCACAAACAAGCCUUGUGCUUCCCAACUCUCUCCAUUUUCAUCAACUGCACCUUCUUUUUCAUUCACUCCCAUUCUGCAACUUCCCAUUUGAUGUGCAGAAGUAUAUAAGUUCCAAUGUUCACCUGGUGAUAGCACCCCUUCUACUGGAUUCACAUUCUCUAUAAAUGAUAAGCUCUUUGUGAGUUCUUUUGGAACGAAUUCUUCUGCAUCUAGGGUACUUCUCUAUGCUUUAGCACCACCUACCAUCCAUAGUCCGAUGGUCAAAGAGAGGUCGUAAAUAGGUGCCUCCAAACAUACUUGCAUUGUUUUGCUGGGCCACAAUCGUGACACUGGUUUCGCCACCUCGCUCUUGCUGAGUAUUGGUAUAAUACUAACCAACACUCUACCACAUCCGAGGGAGUUGUGAAUAUCCUGCAAAAUCGACAAGAGCUACUUUCAAUACUCAAACAGAACCUUUGUCGAGCACAACAUCGAAUGAUUGCACAAACUAACUCAGGGAGAACAAAUAUUACAUUUCAACAUGAUGACUGGGUGUUGCUGAAACUACAACCAUAUAUACAACUCUCCCUUGCUCGUCGUAGCUCACACAAUCUAGCCUCAAAGUAUUUCGGCCCAUUCCAAGUGAUUAGAAGGAUUGGGUUGGUGGCUUACGAGCUUGCUCCUCUGCCUUCAUCACGGAUCCACCCCGUUUUUCAUGUGUCUCUCCUUUGAAAAUUUCAUCGGGAUCUCGAAGGUCAAUAUAUUCGUCUACCGAUGGGUCUGGUCAUACUCCAUAAAGGUGAAUCGAUGCAACCGGAGGACAAUAGACUCGUGAGAGAACAAAGAGUAAAGGAGGGAAUGACAUCUCUAUCUCUAAGAGAAAUAGUGAAAAAGAAAAAACACAAGAGAAAGAUGAGAUAAUUAGUGAUUCAGGCCAAAUUUAGUGAUUCUGCAGCAACCCAAAUUUAAAUUUCAUCCACAACUUUGGAUUCCUUUUUGCCCCACCAUAGGCCGCCACGUGGCUCAAACAAAGGUGAAAAACGGGCCACUCCAGUUUCCAUCAGCCCACCCGUUUCCCACUCCCUUGUUGGACCGAGUGGACCAUAACUUGUUGGGCUGAUCAUACACAAUCAACAUACCAACCUUUAGGACAAGUUUAUUCAUGAUAGGAUGGGAAAUGAUAGGGCCCAAAUUGUUAAUGAAAAAAGAAAAUAUGUUAGGCCAGCUUGGUUAAAUGAUUAUGUUUAAUGAAUUGGGUUGUUAGGACAACUGUCCUUGAUUGUGAUUCACCCAAGUGUAUGGUGUAGAUCAAAACUAUCUUAGAUAUUUUCAAUUCUCGUUCUUUAUAUUGUAAGAAAAUGCUAUGAAUGAAGUAAACAUAUAUGAAUUCACUUAACUUUUCUUAAUUUUUCUCUCUUUGCAUAUUAUUCCUAAAAAAUAUAACCCUCUACUAUUAUCUUCCUAACAAGAUCCUGGCAAAAGAACAACCAAAGCCAUACACAGCAACCAGAACAACGAGAUGCAUAAAUAACUCACCCAACCAAAUCAGCAGCAAGUACAACUCUCAGAAGCUCUAAUAUGGAUGGUAGAGUACUGUGUAAUUCCGAGGAAGGAAAAGGUGUAUGGAGAAACCAUCCAACUUUCAUAUUGCUAUUGUAUUUUUUCAAACAUUUUGGAAGAAACAUGAGGUGGUAAUCAUGGCACCAAACAAUAUCUCCUUCUUCAUAAUACUUAUUAUUGACUACAUCAGCAAACAUUUGGUUUGCUAUCUUAUAUGCAUCAAAUUGAGAUUAGAAACUACCCGUGGUAGCGAGUCUGUCUUCAUGUGGAAGCCCAAGGUAAUAAAAAAUAAGCCAUAAGAUGUUGUUGCAGUAACCUAUGAAGCACAGAUUCACCAAAUACCCUCGCGUGUCGGUGUCCGACACGUAUCCGACACAGAUACGCUCAGAUUCGCGAAGGAUACGUGUCCAUAGAGUAUCCAAAAAUAUAAAAAAAUAAAAAAAUAAAAAAAAUAUCAAAACACAUAUCGGAUUCGUUUUCAAUAAAAUAUAGGAUAUAUAGAUUCGUUUUUAAUAAAAUAAAGGAUAUAUAGAUUCAUUUUAUGAUAAGAUAGAUUUGUUUUCAAUAAACACUCACUUAUUUAAAGGUCACAUCAUACCAACUUACCAUCACACCACAUUGACCCUCGAAUAACUGGUACUUUCCGAUCCAUAACGUCGCUAGCUGGUACUUAGUGUUACUGCCUCUACUGUCAUAGAUAUGUUGUGAAGAGUAAACAGAAAAAGGCUUACAUUUCUUACUUCUUAGUUUCUUUUCGCUCAGUAUGUUUAUAAAGAGAAGAGAAUGUGUGACUAUUAAUAGAGAAGAUAGAUAAAAGACUUACCUUUAUUUCUUAACAGAGAAGAGAAGAAAGAGGGUAGGAGAUAAUAUUUUGAUUUACACUUAUAUUUUUAUCAUAUUUUAUGUAUUUUUUAUUAAUUUAUAUGCGUAUCCCUGAACGUAUCGUAUCUACAUUUUAGAAAAAAUGCGUGUCGACGUAUCAGAUACAUAUCGUAUCCGAUACACGUAUCUGUAUCUGUGCUUCAUAGGUAAUAACCAUUAUAGUACUGAUUAACUAUCUCCUCAUCAAGAAAUACUGGUAUGCAUCUCUGCAGAUAAUAAUGCAUAAUUUUUGAUAUUAUCUGUAUGUCUUGGAUAUUAGAAGGAGAAUCACUCUAGUGAUAAGAGACCAUAUAUUAGGAAGCACGGUAUGAUUACAAGACUAUAUGGACACGACAAACAAAUUUAAAAACUAUAGGAUGCACCGUGACUAUGAUACAAGAAUUUGACACAAAAUUGAACAACAUAAAGAACAUAAAUUUGACACAUACUUCAACCAAACAUAAAGAAGAAUACCAUUUCAGCUAAAGAUUUAGUCAAUGCUUCUGAGACAUCAUCAUCAUGCACAUUCACACCAGGCCACCCGAUCCAUCUGGUAUCGAACUCCUUCACAUCUUGGUGUUAGAGAAGUGCAGUUAUAAUUGUUCCCUGGCAUAUACUUGGUUUGAAAAUUGCACAUAACUUGUAUUUUUACUUAACUCAUUUUUAUCAGUAAUUGAAUAGGUAAAAUACUUAGUCAUACAAUUUGUAAUGCUGAAUCAAAUACUCAGUCAUACAAAUAUAUGAAUAGUUGCACACUUCAUUUCGUUUGUUACAUUUUGACAGCACUUGGUAGAUUUGUCCAUAACAGAGUAUACCAGCUUUGUUCUAUGUUCAGUAUAUUCUACCAAGACAAUAGAAUAGGACAAUAAAUUGUAAAAUAGGAGAAUAUACUACAAAUAUAACAUCUUGGUUCGGCUAUCUAUCAAAGAGUCUCGACGCAACGAUAAGAAGUUGCUUGCUUUGUGACCUAGGAGUUAUGGUUUCAAAUCCUAGAAACAACCAUUUUGCUUACGAGCAAUGACACAACCAAUGUCAUGAGGGUGCGCACAUGCACACCCUAGAAAAAAAAAUUUGUAUAUAUUACCAUUAUAGUUAAUAUUUGUUGCACUCCAUGUUAUAUAAAAUUGUGCAUCACUUCAUUUGUCUUAUUCUAAUACAUUUUAAACCAUUCAAUUUGCUUUCGCCGCUCUCCCUAGUUCAUGGAUCAACCAUUUCUUUCAAGGUUAAGACUACAUAUAUCUAAGAUCCCCAAAUACAUUUGUCUUAUAAAACUGUUGCACUUCAUGUUAUAUAAAAUUGUGCAUCACUUCAUUUGUCUUAUUCUAAUACAUUUUAGACCAUUCAAUCUGCUUUCACUGCUCUCCCUGGUUCAUGGAUCAACCAUUUCUUUUAAGGUUAAGACUACAUAUAUCUACAAUUCUCAAACCCCAGUAGCUGAAGACUUCUGCAUUGGGCCACCCUUUUAUCCGUCGAGGAGAACAAAAUAUAUUCUGCCAUGUUUCCUCCUGUUCUAUAUGUGCACUAAUAUUUCAACCACAUUCCAAUUAUUUAUCCAAUGGAAAAAAUGUCACUUUACUCAAUGGUAUGAUCCAUGCACUUAACUCCAUGAUCAUGAUUUAAUACUAAAAUAUAUUUAGAGGUUGUGUUGGUUAUGUAGCAAACAAAAGUGUAGAGAGGAAAUGUGUUAUGAAGAAGACAUUAUUUUAUUCAUCAACAAUGCACAUAAUUUAUACAACAUGAAAAGAAAGCUGAUGCAGAAAAAAUAAGUUCCUACAUGAAUAGUAUAAUGAGUCACAUAAGUGCUCCAACAUAAAAGGGUGAAAUAUUCCCAACACCUAUAUUAAACCUAUAUUGCCUAAUGAAUAUAAACAUAUAAUAUUGUAUCUUUAUUGCCUAAUGAAUAGAAACAUAAUAGCUUCUGAGCCAUACUAAUCAACACUCCUCCUUAACUCUGGAGUUGUAAACUUCAAGGUUUUUCCAUAUGCUUAUUCUCAGAAUCGUCAAGACUGAACUUGGUUACGUAAGUCCAUUUGACUCCUAUACUCUUCUUGUGUUUAGACAUAUCUACCAACUUCCAUGUCUCAUUUUUUUCAAUGACCAUGAGAUCCUCCUUCAUUGCAUCUAUCCAUUUCUAGUCACUUCCAGCUUCUUCAUAUUUUGCAACAUCUAAUGGUAUACUCAUAGGUCCUCCAAUAUUUGUAUGUAUCAGUUGCAGCUUCUGUGUAGCAUUCCUUGUCCUUUUUUGCAGAAAAAAAACCUUGUAAGCUUCUCAUAUCGGUAGACAAUGUGUGUAUGAGACUUUGUUUCUAUUUGUUCUUUGUGUACUACAACUUUCUCAUCUUUCAUCAAAUCCAAGACAAAACGUUUUCCUUUCAUUUGAACUUUGAACACAUCUCUACCUUUUGAAUCUUUAAUCAUGCAGGUUUUGUCUUCAAACAAAACCUUAUAGUCUUUGUCCAUCAACUGAGGAACAUUUAACAAAUCUUGAUUAAUUUCAGGAACAUAUACGACAUCAUGAAUUAAUUUCAAACAUGUGUAACUUUUAAUUACAAUUGUUCCUUUGCCUUUUGUUGCAAUAUAUGUCCCAUUUCCAAUUCUCUCGAUCAUAAGUCAUGUGGUUUGUACAACCAUCAUCAAUGAGCCAACUUUCUGUAGAAUUGUUGGCUUUAAAACAUGAUAUUGUGAACAAUUGCUCUUCUUAUGGUUGAUCAUCAACAAUAUUAACUUCUCCUUUUGUUGUUGUUGUUGUUGAGAGUUGCAUAUUUUUUCCAUGUGCCCUAACUAACCACACUUAUAACAUCUUGCAUCAUGCCUCCACCAACAUCUAUUUUGUGGAUGAUUAGUUUUUUUCAGUAGAUACAAGGUGGAAAGACUUCAUUAUUACUACUUUGAUUAUUGUAUUUGUUGUUUGUAGAACCUCCAGUUUUGUAGUUGUAUGAACACCCAAUUUGGUAUUGGUCGAUGAUAGGUAGUCUUUUUUGCAUCACAUGCAUGCUCAAGUUAAGAAGCCACAUGAGGAACAUAAAUCAUCCACAUGCAUGUUCAAGUUAAGAAUUACACAGUUUUAAAGAGAUGUGAAGCACAAAUUUCAUUACCCCAAAUGAAUACAAAGAUUUCUGGAAAGAAAUUUCCAUGUUAUUAUAAUACUGCAAAUUCAUAAAAUAUAAAUCAUGUAGUAAUAAAAGAUUAUGUCACACUGCAUUAUUUCUUCCAAAUAAAUCAUAUGAAUAAACUUGUAGAAAUUACACACUCAUAAGAUAUUGAACUAUUCUAUUUGAGAUGCAAAGUGCAGUUGACUGUAUUGUGAUCGUGGGGUUAACACCAACAGCAGUAGGAAGAACACUUGCAUCACGCACAAACAAGCCUUGUGCUUCCCAACUCUCUCCAUUUUCAUCAACUACACCUUCUUUUUCACUCCCAUUCUGCAACUUCCCAUUUGAUGUGCAGAAGUAUAUAAGUUCCAAUAUUCACCUGGUGAUAGCACCCCUUCUACUGGAUUCACAUUCUCUAUAAACUCUUCUACUUCAUUUU
rnacentral:lncRNA from 1 species